rnacentral:rRNA from 1 species
UACGAAGGGGGCUAGCGUUGCUCGGAAUCACUGGGCGUAAAGCGCACGUAGGCGGCUUGUUAAGUCAGGGGUGAAAUCCUGGAGCUCAACUCCAGAACUGCCUUUGAUACUGGCGAUCUCGAGUCCGGGAGAGGUGAGUGGAACUGCGAGUGUAGAGGUGAAAUUCGUAGAUAUUCGCAAGAACACCAGUGGCGAAGGCGGCUCACUGGCCCGGUACUGACGCUGAGGUGCGAAAGCGUGGGGAGCAAACAGGGAUUAAGAAACCCUGGUACGUCC